AUUAGCUAGUUGGUAAGGUAACGGCUUACCAAGGCGACGAUCAGUAGCCGACCUGAGAGGGUGAACGGCCACAUUGGAACUGAGACACGGUCCAAACUCCUACGGGAGGCAGCAGUGGGGAAUAUUGCACAAUGGGCGAAAGCCUGAUGCAGCAACGCCGCGUGAAGGAAGAAGGCCUUCGGGUCGUAAACUUCUGUCCUUGGGGAAGAAGAACUGACGGUACCCAAGGAGGAAGCCCCGGCUAACUACGUGCCAGCAGCCGCGGUAAUACGUAGGGGGCAAGCGUUAUCCGGAAUUAUUGGGCGUAAAGAGUACGUAGGUGGCAACCUAAGCGCAGGGUUUAAGGCAAUGGCUCAACCAUUGUUCGCCCUGCGAACUGGGAUGCUUGAGUGCAGGAGAGGAAAGCGGAAUUCCUAGUGUAGCGGUGAAAUGCGUAGAUAUUAGGAGGAACACCAGUGGCGAAGGCGGCUUUCUGGACUGUAACUGACACUGAGGUACGAAAGCGUGGGGAGCAAACAGGAUUAGAUACCCUGGUAGUCCACGCCGUAAACGAUGAGCACUAGGUGUCGGGG
rnacentral:rRNA from 1 species